GGCAGGAUGGCCGAGUGGUUAAGGCGUUGGCUUAGAUCCAAUGGGUGUAUGCCCACGUGGGUUCGAACCCCACUCCUGCUA